rnacentral:rRNA from 1 species
CCUACGGGCGGCUGCAGUGGGGAAUAUUGGACAAUGGGCGAAAGCCUGAUCCAGCAAUACCGCGUGUGUGAUGAAGGCCUGCGGGUUGUAAAACACUUUCGUUGGGGAAGAAAUGCUCAAAGCUAAUACCUUUGAGAGUUGACGUUACCCAAAGAAGAAGCACCGGCUAACUCUGUGCCAGCAGCCGCGGUAAUACAGAGGGUGCAAGCGUUAAUCGGAGUUACUGGGCGUAAAGGGCGCGUAGGGGGAUUGAAAUCCCCGGGCUUAACCUGGGAAUUGCAUUCGAUACUGGAUAUCUCGAGUAUGGUAGAGGAAAGCGGAAUUCCCGGUGUAGCGGUGAAAUGCGUAGAUAUCGGGAAGAACAUCAGGGCGAAGGCGGCUUUCUGGACCAAUACUGACACUGAGGCGCGAAAGCGUGGGGAGCAAACAGGAUUAGAUACCCUAGUAGUC